AAAGGUAUUUGUAAAUAAUAAUUAAAGUUACUCAAUAAGACAUAACUUUUUUCUACAAUAUUUUUUUGUAAACUGAAGAUUUCGUUUCAUUAAAGAUUCUAUAUGUAGACUUAUUUAUAUUAUUUAAACAUAGUACCUAUAAAAUUCAAUGUCCAUUUACAAUUUACAUUGGUGUUACUGAAGAUGGUGAAAGGUUCUGUGUGACAAAAGUUAUUAAUAAGCACAACCAUGCAAUUGACAAAGAAAUAAUUGAAAGACUUCCAAAAGUUAGGAAACUAAACGAGGAUCAAGAGAAAGAUGUUAAACAAAUGUUAAAGAUACAUGGCAAUAAAUGGCUUAUUCAUGAGCAUGUUCAAAAUGAAACAGG